rnacentral:tRNA from 4 species
GCGCCUGUAGCUCAGUUGGAUCAGAGUGGCGGACUCCGGAUCCGCAGGUCGGGAGUUCGAGUCUCCCCAGGCGCAUCA